rnacentral:rRNA from 1 species
AUUGAACGCUGGCGGCAUGCUUUACACAUGCAAGUCGAGCGGCAGCGCGGGGGCAACCCUGGCGGCGAGCGGCGAACGGGUGAGUAAUGCAUCGGAACGUAUCCUCGAGUGGGGGAUAACCCAGCGAAAGUUGGGCUAAUACCGCAUGAGCUCUGAGGAGGAAAGCGGGGGACCUGCGAGGGCCUCGCGCUGGAGGAGCGGCCGAUGUCCGAUUAGCUAGUUGGUGGGGUAAAGGCUUACCAAGGCGACGAUCGGUAGCUGGUCUGAGAGGAUGAUCAGCCACACUGGGACUGAGACACGGCCCAGACUCCUACGGGAGGCAGCAGUGGGGAAUUUUGGACAAUGGGGGCAACCCUGAUCCAGCCAUGCCGCGUGAGUGAAGAAGGCCUUCGGGUUGUAAAGCUCUUUCGGACGGAACGAAAUGGGCGGGACAAAUACUCCUGUCUGAUGACGGUACCGUAAGAAGAAGCACCGGCUAACUACGUG